GUCGAGCGAAUGGAUUAAGAGCUUGCUCUUAUGAAGUUAGCGGCGGACGGGUGAGUAACACGUGGGUAACCUGCCCAUAAGACUGGGAUAACUCCGGGAAACCGGGGCUAAUACCGGAUAACAUUUUGAACCGCAUGGUUCGAAAUUGAAAGGCGGCUUCGGCUGUCACUUAUGGAUGGACCCGCGUCGCAUUAGCUAGUUGGUGAGGUAACGGCUCACCAAGGCAACGAUGCGUAGCCGACCUGAGAGGGUGAUCGGCCACACUGGGACUGAGACACGGCCCAGACUCCUACGGGAGGCAGCAGUAGGGAAUCUUCCGCAAUGGACGAAAGUCUGACGGAGCAACGCCGCGUGAGUGAUGAAGGCUUUCGGGUCGUAAAACUCUGUUGUUAGGGAAGAACAAGUGCUAGUUGAAUAAGCUGGCACCUUGACGGUACCUAACCAGAAAG
rnacentral:rRNA from 2 species